rnacentral:rRNA from 1 species
CCUACGGGGGGCUGCAGUGGGGAAUAUUGCACAAUGGGGGAAACCCUGAUGCAGCAACGCCGCGUGAGUGAUGACGGCCCUCGGGUUGUAAAGCCCUGUCUUCAGGGACGAUAAUGACGGUACCUGAGGAGGAAGCCACGGCUAACUACGUGCCAGCAGCCGCGGUAAUACGUAGGUGGCGAGCGUUGUCCGGAUUUACUGGGGGUAAAGGGGGCGUAGGCGGACAUUGAAGUGAGGAGUGAAAUACUCGGGCUCAACCUUAGUGCUGCAUUUGAAACUGGUUGUCUAGAGUGCAGGAGAGGAAGGUGGAAUUCCUGGUGUAGCGGUGAAAUGCGUAGAGAUGAGGAAGAACACCGGUGGCGAAGGCG